AUGAACGCUGGCGGCGUGCCUAAUACAUGCAAGUCGAGCGCACAGACGAGGAGCUUGCUCCUCUGACGUUAGCGGCGGACGGAUGAGUAACACGUGGAUAACCUACCUAUAAGACUGGGAUAACUUCGGGAAACCGGAGCUAAUACCGGAUAAUAUAUUGAACCGCAUGGUUCAAUAGUGAAAGACGGUUUUGCUGUCACUUAUAGAUGGAUCCGCGCCGCAUUAGCUAGUUGGUAAGGUAACGGCUUACCAAGGCAACGAUGCGUAGCCGACCUGAGAGGGUGAUCGGCCACACUGGAACUGAGACACGGUCCAGACUCCUACGGGAGGCAGCAGUAGGGAAUCUUCCGCAAUGGGCGAAAGCUUGACGGAGCAACGCCGCGUGAGUGAUGAAGGUCUUCGGAUCGUAAAACUCUGUUAUUAGGGAAGAACAAAUGUGUAAGUAACUAUGCACGUCUUGACGGUACCUAAUCAGAAAGCCACGGCUAACUACGUG
rnacentral:rRNA from 1 species